GAUAUGUAGAUUCCAAGGUAUAUCAUAAAUUGUAUGUCUUCGUUGAGGUCCGCGUUCCAGGCUUCCGGGUUUGGAACGCGGACCUCGACGAAGACACUGUUCCUGACUGCAUCGUUACCAUUUGGGAUCCUGGAUUUAGAUAGCUUCUCAAAAGUACAUUGUGCUGAAAGAACGGAAGAAUGUGAAUCCACAAUAAAAUGCAUCAAUGUAAAAUAUGUAGUAUAUCAUCCAUUUUUAGAGAAACGUAUCAAUGUGAUACAGAGAACAAACCAGAAACUGCGUAUCCAAUGUAGAAUGAAUGUAUAAAGAACUUGGUAAUUUCAAUAAUAUAUUUUAAUCCCUUAAAACCCAGUAUAAAGGGAUAUUAUUACCCUCUGAUUUAAUUUACAGGUACAUAUAUUAAGAAUAUUAUUGUACUGGGAAGGGAUUAAGUGGCUCAAUCUAUAGAAUAUUUACUGAUUUUAAGUCCCUUUUCAAUACUAGGUCAUUAAUGGCUAUUGAAUAAAAAAUAAAUUAAAAAAUAA